AAUUCAACCCCCCAGCCCCGCCCUAGCCAGUGCACUGGGCACACACUCGGGAUCCAGGCACCUUGCCAAGAGCGCGCGAGCACCCUGCGUGGCACACUGGUUGGAGUUCCUGCAUGAAGUGGCGGGGGUGGAGUGAGGAGGGAGGGGUGGGCGGCGGUGCACGCCGCCGACUGCUGGCGGUGCUCACAAGUUCAGUGCUCAACUUCCCGCUCUUAACGAGAGCCGGGAUCCCUUUGGAGAGGCCCUCGGGAGCUGGCGACGGGGCUGGGAGUGGCGUGGACUCCUGGAGGUGAAGACUAGUGUCACCAUAGUACACGUGACUUCUGCAUAGGAAGGAAACAGGCACCAUUGGACUGAGCUUUCCUGACAUCUUGGCCAUUGCCCAUUGAUAAGGUCAGCCAAGACUAUAACAAAAUGAUUGGAUCAUUAAGAGGAUGGAAAAAAAAAAAAGGCAACUAAUAUAAAGAGGAAAUAAAAUGAGUGAUUUGUUGCUUGACUUGCGGGGCCAAAGAAAACCAUGACAGUGUGUUUGGCAAGUUCUUCCCCUGCGAGGCUUUUUUAUGUUUCAAAUAGUGGGAUAAGUAUGGAGAAUGCCUGAUGACAUCAGAAGAAGUGUUUUCGGGUCAAAUUUCGACUUUUCUGGAAUGCUUGCUAAUUUGGACACUGCUUUCUGAGACAGGAAUCAUACCAGUGAAGCCCAUCGCGGCUCCUUCUUGCGACUGUCUAAGAAGUCCAUCUCCAUCUCGAAAGUCAAUGUACACCAGAUCUAUGGCCUGGAGACCAAAGGCUUUUGCUACGACAACAAUCUUUUGCCGGGCGUAGAGAAUAUCCAGGGUUUCUUUGCUACUUGUUGCACCUGAAAACGGGAUGUUAACAGAAAAAGGAGGCUUUAACUUUGGAAACCGAACCCAGACAUUGAUUAUAAAAACUCAGUUUGUGCAGACACCUAUGUCUCCCUGGGAAUUGCUCCUCCGAAAAAUAAUUAUUCAAAUAUAAAUGAAAUCUCAUGUGUCUGUUUAACUGACAAGGCAUCUUUCAGUAGAAUUACUUCUACCUGCAUUAAGAGAAGGCCCUUCCCCAUUCCGGGAGGCUGGGUCAGGGUCGAAAGAGACCUCCUGAUAUGUUUUUUUUCCUUCUUAUCAUCGCUUGAAAAGUGCCAGUCCGAAGACAGCACCACAAAAGGUGGCCCAGCAGCUGUGCAGGGCAAUGGUUCACUUUUCACAGUGAGCACAGAACUGUGUGUGCUGUGGCUGGCAUGCCCUGUCCAAAGUGAAGUUCUGAGCCAAAUGCUUCAGCUUCAGGGUCUGGAUGGACAACUUGGGGAGAUGGGAGGGCACUUGUUUUGAGAGGGCUGGAAAGCUUGGAUAUGCCUUCUAUAGCCUGCUGAACUGCUGGAUACACAAGUCUCCUGGAAGGACUCAUAUUAAAAUAAAUUCAGUUUUUUCACCCUGAGGGUAGGGAAGUGUUCCUAUUUAUAUUUGGAACAUGCCACUCCCUGCUCAGGGAAAGUGCCUGUCUUCAGGUCACUGGGACUGGUUUCUGUGGCCUCGACCUCUUUUCUAAAUGCUUCACGGUGUCCAGUCAAACACGCAGACCUCUCGAGUGCAGAGCAAGAGGGAUGGUGAGAAUCAGUGAAAAUCAGCACAUUUAACAUGAAAGUUCAAAAACACAUUGUAAGAGAAAUUUAAGAUCCAUUUAAAAUAAUAUUUACAUACUGUAUAUUUUACGUGGAAAACAAUUCAUUAAGGCAAAUAAGAAAUCGCCUUAAAUUUGCAUUAGAAAUCUAGACAGCCCUCAUACUGAUGUGAAAACAAAAUACUGAGGCAACGGUGAGGCUGUUCACAUAAUAUAUUUAUUAGGCACAAAGGAGAUGCCAGAUAUUCCUGAGCAUGCCUGGGGGCUGCAACAGGCUUUCUAUUGCUCACGUCUUUUAUAAAUGAACACAAGUAAUAAUGCAGUGUUCUAGAAGCAGGGCAGCUAUGAGGAGCUCUAAAUUAUCAGGAAGUAGUGUCCACUCCAUUGUCAUGAAAAACCAUUGUCACGGUUGGCAAAUAUAUAUUGUUAUGUAAAUAUCCACUCCUGAGGGGCAAAGACAAAAUAUAUGCACACGUAUAUACACACACACAGAAAAAAAGAGAGAGGUCUUUGACACCUAUGCUGGCUCGAAAGUCUUCUCCUCCAAAAACGACUGCAUCUAGAAAGAGACCCACUUGAGGCCCGAUCUUGAGGGUUUCUUCACACACUGCCUGUAAAAGAGCAGAACAGAACCAAGGCUCACAGAAACGCGUGCGUCAGAGGGAAGAGGCACGGUGCAUUUCAGUAACAGGACGACCUGACUCUUAACACAGUUUGGCUGAAAGCAGUCCUAAAAACGCACCCCAAAUUUACCCCUUUCAAAAGGUAUUUAAUAUCAUUCAAGAUAAGUAUAUUGUAUAUAUUUGCUUUGUUUAAUGAAUUAUAUUAAUAGAGUUAUAAUGCUCAAAUCAUAGCUCAUCUCACUUUUGGAGCAACUUUGAGUUAACUCAUUUUGCUUGCACUGUAAGUUAUUUAUAUUUUUCCGAAUUUGUUUUUGCUUUAAGAGACUCUCGUAAAACCAUAGGGGAGAGGGAAGGAAUUUUAAAGUCAAACUAAUUGAAUUAUUUGCAUUAGGAUCAAGCACAUAGUCUCAGGAUUAAAGACCUACAAAAACCUACAACUGUAAAGGGGAAAAUAAAAAUGCAACGAGUCAUCCAAGAUGUGUUGAUAAAGCAACUUCGACAUUUAUAUAUGAAAGUCAAGGCAAAGAGCAUUCAUCACAGAUGUAACCGUGAAUCUUGAAAGGUGGAGAUAGAACCUGCUAAUAUAUGUGGGUGGGAAAGAAACAAGGAACCGGUGGGGACACUGUUGAUUACUUUCAGACAUUGUAAGUGUUUCUAAGUACAUUAUGGAAUAAAAUGUCGAAGCAGUGCUUAAAAUUAAAUCACUGGAUGAAUCCGGUUACAUCUAAGGGAUAUGCUUUUGAUUAUAUUCUCAGUAUCCUAAGGCUGGCUGGAAGAAUUUGCGGUUAGUUAUAUAAACAAGCUGCUCAUGGGACAAGGCUUGAAGCAGCUCCCCAAACAUUUGCACUCGACCCCUUCUGCACAGCCCAAGGUCUCAAAGUUGCCGCUCACAUAUUCUCUCUCUAGUACAUUUUGAUUAUGUUUUUUUCUUUGUUUUUAGUGAUUUCUUUUCUCCUGCCCUCUGGGGGGACUGAGGUGGGGGAAGGGAGUGGAGGAACUCUGAGAAGGGGGUGCUAGAUUGAUGUUCGCAGGUCAGGUGGAAAGAGAGGUGUAUUUUGGAAAAUAAUAUAAAUGCCCCCUGAUAAAUGAGAAAAAACGAGCUAGCUCUGAAUUUGUUAAGGCAGGUAGUUUGGUGCAACCACACAAUGGCUGAAAACACUUGGCUCAGCUAAUAUUCCCACUGUACAUUAGAAAAUGUUCAAUGUUCUAAUGUGGCAAAUUGAAAAAAAGGUACUGCAAAUUAUUUGUGUGCAUGAACUUACAAACAAUAAUCUUAUCUGCUAGACAUUACUGAUGAGGUUGCUACAGAGAGGCCGGGAAAUUUCCCAAUGAAAAGGCAAUUGAUAGAAUAUUUCAAAGUUAAUUCAUAAGGGUGACAAAAUAAAUUUUUAUGUACAUUUAGUCUAUAAAUGCAAUAAUUCAAAGCAUAUAAUUACACAGUGAUUAAUUAAAAUUGUCACUAGGAAUAUAUACAUGUUUCAAUUAAAUAUUUUGGACUGGGAAGCUUUUCUUCUACUUAACUGAUUUCAUUGUUUCCUCAGAUGCUGGUAACCUGGUUUUUGUACUGUUACAGAUAACGAAUGGUCUUCAAGGUUUCCUUUGCUUAUAAAUCUCUCCAGAAACAUAUUUUAAUACGAUGUUAAAAUUGAAAACAAAAGUUCUCUUUAGGUGAUAAAUAAAAUACUAACUUAUUAACCAUAUUAUGGUUUUCUUACCUUAAAAUUGAGCAAACCCAUUGCAGUUUCCACAAAAGGGAUUAAAUUCAUUGGUUGUUCAAGUUUUCGGCCUUUUAAGUGGAAUGAAAAUUUGUCUGCAAACUAAAAUCAGAAGUGUCAUAGGUGAUUAGUGGGGAAAAAAUGUACAAUCACGGAAAUGUAGAUACAGAAGUAGUAUUUAAGUCUUUGACCUGAGGAAGUCAUAUCCAAGCCUCUUUCAUCCACACAAAAGAAUUUUUUUAAAAAAAUAAGAAGACAGACCAAAGAAAAGGUAAUGAAGUUCCCAGCAAACUAAAUAGUAAAACCCCAAGCAUUACAAUUUUUUUCUCCCAAAGGAGCAACUUAAGGCCUAGGAGUUAGAACUGGAAGAAGAGAGUAUCAGCGCUUUCCCUGGAAACAUAUUUACUUAAGACCUCUUGCCCUCACUUCGUUAAAUGCAAAUGGUAGGCCCUGAAAACAAUGAAGGCUUCCUCUACCUGCCAUUCUGUUUUUGUUUCGUGCCCAGCACUGACAUCAGUGUAACUGUUCAGCAGCCUUCUACAUGGAGUCCAUAUUAUUCAUUAUAGCACCGUUACCCUUUGUUCAGAAGGUUUUUCUUCAUAAUUUUUUAGCUUACCUAGGAAGACCUUAAAAAGGAAGUUUAAUUCUUUGAAGACCAAAGCUCGCCAAUUUUUUCCAUGAGACCAGUUCACAGCUAGCUCUGUGCUGCCAGUGGGGUAGCCCAAAUUCCAAAAUCUAUCAUCUGGAAACAUACAAAAGCUCUUGGCCAGAUUCCUCCCCCCCUUCAAAAGGGGGAAAAACACACUCUAAAUUGUAAAUCUAUUAUGUCUAUCUAGAUCUAAUAAGCUGUGGGGAGAUAGAAAAGAAACACAGGUAUGAUAAAGAUAUUUUUGUAAAUAAAGAUGAAAACAUAUAUAUCCAUUUUAAAUUUAAGGAAUAUUCAGCCAUUAAUGGAUAUCAAAGGAAAAGGGAAUUUUAAUCAUCUCUCCAUUCAGUCUCAGUUGGGUAAAUCAUAUCUAGAGAUUUGCAUAAAUAUAAACCAUCAAAGACUUUUCAUCUUCAAAGGGGGUUUCAAGACCCUAUAAGCUUUGUACUGUAAUCAUCACAGGUCACCACCCUGCAGGAAUAAGGCUGCUAUGGCAACAUAAAAAACUAAUGCUGAAGGCUUAGCAUAAUAUUCUGACUAAUAGAAAGGAAACUCAUUUGAAAAGCUGGCAGCCUAUUUACCAGAAGCGGGAUUAGAGGUGUUAUUUCCCCUUUUAGCUGCCCCCUCCUUGCCGGUGCACCACCCCCCUAAAAAAUCUAAUCACUGGGAUCUUUAAAAAGCUUUUGAGCAAUUUGCAGUAACUUUACAAUUAGGCUAAAAUAAAUCACAGCUUUCAGUAAUGAAGAAUUAUUCCCAGUUGCUCCCACUGCCCCCCUUCAAAGGGCAUCAUCAUCACCUCCUUAGUAACUUUUCAAGGGAAGGAAUAACUCAACCAGCAUAGUGAGAAGAAGCAGAGGGCGACAAUUUCAGGGGAUAAAAUGUGUAGUAUUUGAGGUAGAUGAAAAUCAAACAUAAUUUAUUUCCCAUUUAUGCUAGAAAGUGGUAGCACAGUAUUAGUGGUGUUGGUGUUAAAAAUGUAGUAGGGAUUUUUUUUUUUCCUCAUUAAAAAAAGAAAAUUUGCCAAGUGACUUGCCCCAUUCUUUGUGGUAAGUUAUAACUACAAAAAUCAUAGCGUUUAAAACCAAGUAAAUGCUUUACAAGAUAUUCCCUGUUCUUGGUGAGAAAACCCCUAAUGCCUUUUGUUUUUAAGCCAAUAGGGGCAUUUAAAAAUUAAAUAUUCUAGCCCAUCUUCCUCCUCCUCCUCCUCCCCCCCUUUCUUAAAAAAUUGCAUUAAGUACUAACACAAAAGGUAACUAGUGGAGAAGUUUCCAUUAAUUUUUUCAAAAGGAGACGAUUAAAUGUUUCCGGCCUGGUAAAGUGUUCAUUUCAGCGAGGUGGAGGGGACUGGGGUAGGGGGAGGAGAAGAAGGGGGAGAAAUCACAAAGAGAUUGGGGAGGAGAUGAAGUAGCAGGGCUCAGCGAUUCUUUCAAUUCCAGUGCACACCCAAUAGUGUGCUGGAAGAAUGCACACUGUUCGGGAUUUGUGGGAGAAUUGUCCCAUGACAAAGGAGGCAGGGUUACGCUUGUUAUAGUCCAAUAAGCCGUGCCAGUCAAACAAGAACCCACACUAGCGACAAAAGGCUAGCGAGAGAUUCUCACACAAAAGAAAACAAGUAAGCCCAUCUUUCAGUUGUGCAUCAGGCUCUGGGUUUUAUGCUUCGCAUAAAUACAAACGGAGAGGAAAAAAUAAACAGCCAAAAGGACUUCUGUUAACUAGAAGUCUGAUUUAAAUUUCUGUAUGUGUCUCACUUCCAAGGAUUUAAAACAGCGAACAGGAGCCGUAGCUGAAGGUUGGUGGGUCCUCCCUCCCCCGUCUUAAAUUAAGGGUAAUAACAGUGAUAAAUAGGCAUUAACUAUGAAACCAAAAGGGAACAGUGACUUCAGAGUCCAUUUCAAUCAACUUAAGACAUAUUUGAAUGAGCUCAGGGCCCUUCAGGAUAUUAACAUACUCUAACUAGUAUCUCUCAGCUUCUCAGGGUAACCCUGGAGAGCAGAACUCCAGCUUAGUCAGUAAAUACUGGUGCCUGAAUACGGGUCUUCUACAAGGACCCAACACAGAGCUGUCCAAAAGAAACUGUACAGCAGCAGCUACAUCCAUAAUUUUAAAUUUUCUCGUAGCCACAUUCAGAGGGUAAAUUGAAACAGGUGAAUUUAAUAGUAUCUUGUAUUCAACCCAACAGAUCCCUAAUGUUAUUUCAAUGUGUAAUCCAUAUAAAAACGACUGAGAUAAUUCACAUUCUCUUUUUGUCCCCUCAGUGAAUCCCAAGUCUUCAAAAUCGAGUGUGUAUUUUGCACUUCCAGCACAUCUCAAUUUGUGCUGGCCACAUUUCAAUGCUCAGAAGCCACAUGUCACAGUGGCCGUGCCACCGGGCGAUGCAGACUUGGCGCAUCCGGGCGCAUUCAGAAGCAACCCUAGGAAGUAGCUGAUACUAUUCCCAUUUUACAGAAGAUGGCACGAAGGCUCAGAGGGGUUAACAGACUGUCCUGAUGUCAUACAGCCAUCAGACUGCAGAGCAAGGAUCUUCCGCCUCUAGUUCUACCUUGGGCUGCCCAGACUCCUCCAGGGCUUGUCACUGGUGACCAGCUCAGUGUCUCAAACCUCACUUUAUGGAAUUACACAAACAUGGCUAGGAUCUGCCUAUCCAAGAAACCAUGAAGCAACUGUCUGCUUACGGAAAUCCUUUGUUGAAGGUGGCAUUCCCACAGACGGCCAGGUACCAUUUCUUCUCCAUGUGUCUUUCUCGGGUGCAGAGAGCUCUAUUGGAAAUCAGUGGGAGGCCUCUGCCCAAGAAAGAGUGGGGGGCAGGGGGUGAGAAGCAGGAUGUGAACCUAUUCCAUAAAGUGAAAACUGACAUCUUAACAAAUAAUUAGGGAAAAAUUCGAGGUUGUUUCCUCAGCUGAUCAUCACCGACGGAGCCAACUUUGGAUUAAACACUUCUGCUCAGUGGUUUUGACAUUCUCAGUCAGGCAUAUCUUGAUGAAAUUAGAGAUGCAGAAAAUAUUUUUUGAUGGAGUGUGGGGACAAAACAGCUAGGAGGCAAGCCAAUUCUGUGCGCAAACUUGUGCAGACUGAGAUAAAGAGGAAAAGAAAAGGCAGGACAACAAGGGGCGUGUGCUCAUGUGAUUGUGUGUGUAUACGUGUGUGUGUACAUGAAGGAGGAUGAAAGCAAGUGAUAAAAGAGAAAAGGCAGGCUGGGCUGAUACUAAUUAAUUAGACUUUAAGAUCCUGGCAGCAAGAGGUGUGUUUAUAAACAAUCUUCACUGAAACAUACCUUUCCAACUAUUAACUGUUUUAUUUGCCAGAAAUAGUCUCUGCUCUAAUUAUUUUGUACUUGUUUCAAUCCAAAAGUGGGGAGAGAAAUACUAGUAAGUGACCAUAACCAUUCUUAUGCUAUAACACAUAUCUCUGCACAGAAGUUAAAUGAAGUGAGGCCAAUUCAAACCAAUUCGCAAAAGGAUUAGCUGAGGGGCUAUUAGUCAGAAGACUUUCAAGCUAGUAGAAAAGAAAAAUUAGACCAAAAUAGAAGAAAUAAUAGAAUUCCAGCCAUUCAGGAAUCUCUUGGUGGUAUGCUUAGGCCAAGCCACCAGCAACCUGAGGUUUUUCUAUUGGGACUUAAAUAAGUCUAGAAAAGUCUGAUCUGUGAGGAUAAAAUAAAUAUUUUAUUGCAUACCUGUCAAAUAUUUUUUACAAAAUUAUUUCCCAUAUAUCUUUUCCGAGGAAGUGACUAGAGGAUGUACUCCAUUAAAAUGAAGUAAUAAACCAAGAAAGAAAAUGACAUGAGAUCCAAUAAACAAAAGACCCGACUCAGAAAUCAGGCAAAAGGACUUCCCAGGAUGACAGAAUGGGAAAGUACCAGAACAACUUACAGGGCAACCAGCUCAGAUGGAGCAGUCGAUGACAACUUGUGGGGAAAAAAUAGAACAUAGAGGUUACUUGAUGUAUUUAAAGACACUUUAUGGCUCUAUUGGAGAGUACGGAUUUGAAUUAGUGAUAGAUACACAGAAGAAAAGCAAAUUGAAUAAGUGAAUGCAUAAACCAACUGUGGAACAUCCAGACAAUGAAAUAUUAUUCAGCAAUAAAAAAGAAAUGAGUUAUCAAGACACAGAAAGACAUGGAGGAACCUUAAAUGCGUAUUGCCAAGUUUUAAAAGCUAGUCCGAAAAUGCUGCAGACAGUAUGAUUCCAAUUAUAUAUUUUAGAAAAGGCAAAAGUAUAGAGAUCAGUGGUUGCCAGCAGCUCAUGGACACAAGGUAAAUUGGUGGAGCACAGGGAUGUUUUUAGGGUGAUGAAAAUAUCCUGUAUGAUACUGUUAUAAUGGACAUGUAGCAUGAUGCAUUUGUUAAAACCCAUAAACUAGCAAGGUAUAGUGGCUUGCACCUAAAGUCUCAGCUACUUGGUAGGCUGAGAGAGGAAGAUCACUUGAGCCCAGGACUUCAAGACCAGUCUGGGUAAUAUAGUAAUACCCUAGCUCUAGUUUUUAAAAAAAAAUAAAAAAAAAAAACUCAUCAACUGUAUAACACAAAGAGUGAAUUGUAAUGUAAACUAUAGACUGGAGUUAAAACAUUUUUAAAGAAAUAAAUUCAAGGCAAUUAUUAACUUCAGAAAAAAAUGAUAAAGCAAACAUAAGCGUACAAAUUAAAUAUGGCUCAGUUGUGAAAAUAUUUACAAGGUCACUUUAAGUAACACUGAAUAUUGAUAUAAUCCUAGAAUACAUUUACGUUGGGAGGAUGAGGGAAUAGGAGUAGGAUAAGAGAGCUCAAUCCUCAUCUUAAAUAGAAGCAAGUCAAUAGAUAUCUUACUUCUAAAAUCAAGAAGUAACAGUAUGACCAUACUAUCUAGAAAUAUGGACGUAAACAGCAAGGAAGUUAAAACAGUUGAAAGUAGUUUCUCCUAGACAGAAAGACUUGGGGAAGAACAAAGAAGGCUACUUUUCAUUAUGAGCUUUAUUGUAACAGAAAGGAGACUCCUAAGUCAGCUAGGUUUCCCCAAUUCCUCAACACUUUGAUGCACAGUGUUUAGCAGACAAAACACCGUAUUAAUAAGGUCAGAGCUGUGAUCACUCUCUGAGCACAUGGAUUGUAUUGUAAUUUUCAUCUCGUUGAAAAUGUGUACCAUUUAUCCAAGUGGAAACUGGGCUGGAGUACGACUGUUACCACCACCGAAGAAAUGGCUAGACUUGCUAAGGUCUGCUGGGAUGAUUUGUGAUUGUGUUGCACUUGAUCUUGUUGAGCAUGGCUCUUUUAAGUCACCAUACCUGCCCCUGCCAAUGCACCAAACACCAACGUAAAGAGACUUUCAGCUUUUGUGAGUCAGUCUCAGCCUUACUUCUGAACCAUUUCCUUGGCUUCUCGCAUGAUGCUGAGAGUUUUAAGCCCCAGUUUUAAGCCUUCCAGCCACCAGUCAUGCUGUUUUGCCCUAUUUACAUUCUUCCCUACCUAGUUGGACUGAUGAUAUGGUUAUGAUAUUAGUUAUGUAUUGCUGUGUAACAAACCACUCUGAAACGCGGUGGCUUACAACCACAACCAUUUUAUGUUAUUAGGAAAUUGUGGGUCAGAAUGUGUACUGGCCCAUCGGCAUGGUUCUCCUGCUGGUCUCAGCAGGGGUCACUUAAGUGGGCAUAGUUAUCUGGUGGCUUGACUAGGGCUGGAUGAUCUAAGAUGGCCCCACUGACUUGUCCAAAUGGUGGUGCAGACUGUCACUGGGGACCUGUGUCUCCAGUAGGAGAGUCUGGGAUCCUAAAUGAGAUGUGCAAGCCUGAAUGUGUUCCAUUGGCCAAGCCAAGUCAUGUGGCCUAGUCCAGAAUCCAUGUGGGAAAGGACUGCACACGGGUGUGGAUAUGGGAGGCAUGAAUCAUUGCGGUCUACCACAGACAUUUUCCUGGUUAUACUCUGGGUUCCUGCUUGACCUCUGGCCAGCGGCCCUCAAAUGGUGACUGGACAGCUCUCUCAGAAAUGGAUGUGCCGUUUUGUUCCCAAGUAGAAUGUGAGCUCACUGGGAAUUUAUUUUUCACUCCUUUAUUUCCCAUGCAAAGGAGAAAGCAAAGGUGAUCUUUUUAUGAGGAGAACCAAGUCCUCCUUAGUCUGGACUCAACAGCAUUGGGCUAGGCCAGACCUGUGAGAGCUGGGGAGAAAGAAGAGAGCUUUGACCUCAUAUAUGUAGCACCUUGGUGUGCCUUGAAACACACAUCAAAAUUCCUUGUCUAUGCCCUUCACAGAGAACAAGAAGCCAAAUUUUCCAUCAAAAGAAAAACAAACAAAAGAAAAUUAAGUGUAUAUUUAUCCUAUAACAAGAACAAUUUUCGAUAAAUCAUGACACAUCUUUUCACUGAUAUAUUCAUAGAAUAAUGUGAAUUAAACCAACUAAUGCUAGAUACUGUUAGGUGCUCGGCAUCCAAAGAUGAAUAUAUUAUAGUUCCUGACCUUAUGAUGCUCAAAGCCAAGUCAAGGAUACCGAUAAAUAUAGACAUCCCUCAGUCUCAAAAAUCUAACCCAUUCCUGAAAAUGGCAAGUUUUGAAUAGUGGGAGCCUGUAUUCCAUUAUUAGGAAUGAGAUCAAGAUUACUGUGUUCUUAGCCCAUCUCCAAAUCUGAAUCAUUUCUCUCAAAUAACAUUAGAAAGCUUAAUUGCUUCCACCAAGCAGUUUCUACAUCACAUAAUGUAUUUCUGCAUCACAUAAAGCAUUUAAAACAUCACUCAUUGCAUUUUGUACACUACGUGUACAGUAGAUACAAUUUAUGUCUUCCUUCUAUGCCAUAUUAAACAUGUAUGGUAAUAUACAUAAACAAUGAAACAACAUGCUAAGGAUCCUUCUUGGAAGACAUAAAAUUUUCACUUAGUAACACAGGAGGGACGCUCACGGUAAUGCACACAUUUAAACAACACAUGGUGCCAUCCUGGCCGGAGAACAGCUGAGCUCCUUCCGCUCCUCUAAUCUGAGUUCACACGAAACCUACAUGUUUUCCCCAGCACACACAUGCAAAUUGUUGGAAUUUUGAUCCAGAUGGUGAAAUCUGGGUUAAAGGUUUCUGCAAGUUGUGGGAGUGACUACGCCAGUGGUGAGAGUGUGGAUGGUGCAAUAUUAAUCUUGUGCUAAGAUUGAGACUAUGAAGCAACAUGACAAUGAUCCCCACAGAGAGUUACAGGAUCGAACGAGAAAAUAAAACUGUCUCAGACAAAUAUAGCUAGGGAGACAUUCUUUGG